rnacentral:tRNA from 1 species
GUCUACGUAGCUCAGCAGGAUAGAGCACGCGCCUCCUAAGCGCGGGGUCGGAGGUUCGAAUCCUCUCGUGGACG